rnacentral:rRNA from 1 species
AGGGCCCCCCCAGGAGGGGAGCCCGCGGUUUAUUUUGACUCAACACGGGAAAUCUCCCCAGGCCCGGACACUGGAAGGAUUGACAGAUUGAGAGCUCUUUCUCGAUUAGGGGGGUGGGGGAGCAUGGACGUUCUUAGUGGGGGGAGUGAUUUGUCUGGUUAAUUCCGAUAACAAAAGAGACUCUGUCCUGCUAAAUAGCUCCCGCGUCCUUAGUCGCGCGGGAAAUUCUUCUUAGAGGGACUGGGGGCGUCUAGCCGCGCGAGAUUGAGUAAUAACAGGUCUGUGAUGCUCUUAGAUGUACUGGGCCGCGGUGCUGAACCAAAGGGGUAAAAAAAAGCCAACCAACCUUUUUUCUAUAAAAAAAGAGCCCACCCCAACAAAUCCCCCCCCGGAAAUUUUCUUUUAAAAAAAAAAUUGGGGGGGGGGGGGGAUUUUUCUCCGGGGGAAAAAAAAAAAAAAAACUCCCCUCGGUCCUGGGGGGGGAGAAAAAAAAAAAAAAAGUGGCCCCCCCCCACACCC